UACGUGGGGGGCAAGCGUUGUUCGGAAUUACUGGGCGUAAAGGGCUCGUAGGUGGCCAACUAAGUCAGACGUGAAAUCCCUCAGCUUAACUGGGGAACUGCGUCUGAUACUGGAUGGCUUGAGAUUGGGAGAGGGAUGGGGAAUUCCAGGUGUAGCGGUGAAAUGCGUAGAUAUCUGGAGGAACACCGGUGGCGAAGGCGGCAUCCUGGACCAACACUGACACUGAGGAGCGAAAGCCAGGGGAGCAAACGGG
rnacentral:rRNA from 1 species